rnacentral:rRNA from 1 species
AUUGAACGCUGGCGGCAGGCCUAACACAUGCAAGUCGAGCGAGCGGCGGACGGGUGAGUAAUGUAUGGGGACUGCCCGAUAGAGGGGGAUAACUACUGGAAAAGGUAGCUAUUAUCGCGUACAAUCGGAUUACCCAUAUGUGGUUAGCUAGUAGGGGGGGUAAUGGCUCACCUAGGCGACGCUCCCUAGCUGGGAUGAGAGGAUGAUCAGCCACACUGGGACUGAGACACGGCCCAGACUCCUACGGAGGCAGCAGUGGGGAAUAUUGCACAAUGGGCGCAAGCCUGAUGCAGCCAUGCCGCGUGUAUGAAGAAGGCCCUAGGGUUGUAAAGUACUUUCAGUCGGGAGGCGUUACCGACAGAAGAAGCACCGGCUAACUCCGUGCCAGCAGCCGCGGUAAUAC